UACGGGGGGGGCAAGCGUUGUUCGGAAUUACUGGGCGUAAAGGGCUCGUAGGUGGCCAACUAAGUCAGACGUGAAAUCCCUCGGCUUAACCGGGGAACUGCGUCUGAUACUGGAUGGCUUGAGUUUGGGAGAGGGAUGCGGAAUUCCAGGUGUAGCGGUGAAAUGCGUAGAUAUCAGGAGGAAUACCGAUGGCGAAGGCAGUACUCUGGGCUAACACUGACGCUGAGGUGCGAAAGCGUGGGGAGCAAACGGG
rnacentral:rRNA from 1 species